GGAUCGAAGGUGACCCUUUUCCUCUCAUAACUCGUGCUGGUUUGAUUACUGUUUCGAGGUUGGUAGGCCUGCUGCUGCGGUCGGUGUUGUUGUUGCUGAUAUUGCGGAUGUGGUUGCUGAUUGUUAUUAUGUUGCUGAUACUGUUGAUUGUCUCUGAAAACAGGUGCUAUAUGAGCCACCUGGUGCUGGUUACUGGCGGGACGCACAGUUUUCCUCCUCACAUAGGGUCUUCUUGGUUUCUCAUGGGAGAUCACAACAUGUGCCUCUCCAUCUUUCUUCUUUGCAAACGCCCCAUAACGUUUGGCAGAAGAGCCUUCUUCUCUGGUUAACCGUUCUUCACGGACCCCUUCAAUGUACCAACGCAAAGCGGCACCGGACAGACUGUCCUGAAAGUAGUGGAUGAGUAGUUGGUCAUUAUCGGUUUGAGUCGACAUCUUCCUGGCAUACAUGACCAGGUGGCUGAGAGGACAAGUAUUUCCAUUGUACUUUUCAAAAUCAGGGACCUUGAAUUUCACAGGGAUCUUCACAUUUGGAACCAAGCAGAGUUCGGCAGCAGACUUGCCGAAAAGAUCCUUCCCUCUUAGAGUUUUCAAUUCCUUGCGAAGCUCAAGAAAUUGAUCGUCCAUAGCAUCCAUCUUCUCAUAAACAUCUGGACCCUCAGACGGCUCAGAAUGAUAGAUGGUGUCGUUUACCCUGGGCAAAGUAUGCACGAUAGGAGGAGGAACGGCAAGGACCGGGCUAGAUGCCGGCAGAGAAGCAAAGGUAGGAACAAGACCCUCAGGCAUGAAAUUGGGAGGCAUCCCCCACAGGAACCCGGUUGGCAUGGCUGUUGGAACAAAGUGUGCACUGGCAGCGGGCACAGUAGAGGAGACAAUCUCGGAGAUAACUGUCCUCUGGGGACCCACGGGAACCCGGUUGGCAUGGCUGUUGAAACAAAGUGUGCAUUGGCAGCGGGCACAGUAGAGGAGACAAUCUCGGAGAUAACUGUCCUCUAGGGAGGAGUUGAAGGUGUCGGAGAAGACUGGCUAUGGGCAGCCAUGAGUGACUCCAUUAGGGCAGUCAAUCUGGCCGCUUCCUCUUUCAGCUCGCGGUUCUCUUGCUCUAAGUGAUCCAUCAGUCUUGAAAUGUUGGCUCUAGUGUAGUACCGGUGAGUCAGCUUGUCUUCAAAAUAAAUGAAGGACACAGAGUUAGACCACAGGACAAGGGACCGAAAACAAAACCUGCUUAUGCAUAUGAUGCAUGCAAUGUUUGUGCAUAUGAUUUGUUUUUUAUUUUAUUUCCAAGGAACUUUAGAGUUUUAUUUGCAAAUUCGGGAAAUAUUAAGCAUUUUAUCACAUAUGGAAAUAUCUCAUCAAAUAAUAUCAGGGAAAAGAAGUGCAGCAUCGUCAAUCAUGUACAAGAGAAAAGGAAAUAAUCGUCUUAUGGAUCCUAGAAACAAUCAUCUAAAGCUCGGGACACAGGAGAUAAAUGCGUGAAGCCUCUUCACCUCCUUCUCAUAGGCUGCCUCCAUAUCGGCCUUCUCUUUUGCGAGUCGGAUCAUACCUCCUCUCCAGAAGUUAGAAGACUGAGAAGUAGAGAAGUCCAUACAUAUUAGGUCAUCAAUAACCUGAUGCUCGAGAACUCAAUCAACGCAUCCUUCUCCUUAAUCUGCUGAAGUAACUCUUCACGUUCACGGAUCCAGGCACGUGAACGGUCUUCGUCUCUAACUUCCUCCUACUUGGGGGGUGAAGCCCAGCCAUAAUCAUAGGUGUAGGUCUCGGAUACUCGUAAGCAUGAGAUACUCAGACGCCCUCUUCCUAACCAAUAGUGUAAGGUCCAAGCAUGCAAUUCUUAGGACCUAAUUCUUUCCUUCUUUCUUAUGAAUCUUGCGCCAGCGCGGACCAUCCUAGCUUUCAGCCUUGGGGAUCUUUACCAUCCUGAAAGAAUAUCACCCUCUAACAGAAUGUUAUUGGGUUUAUCCUUUAAGGGGGACCCAUGUGCCGACGUGCCAAACAGAUUGUAGUUAAUCCCACCACAUGUACCAAGAAGAGGUACAUUGGAGAAUUGCCACAAGAGUCAAUAAUCGCACACCAUCAUGCACAGGUCUUAUUAUACCAAGAGAUAUCAUCAUUAGUGAGAGACAUAAGUCUCGUGACCACCGUAGACAUUCCUUGUUCUCCUUGAAAGCGACGUCUUAGGUAAGUGAGAAUAACCACUUUACAACGAGGCAAACAACACACAAUGGCGCCACCACCCUUUGCAUUCUCAUAGCAAAGAGAGAGGUAUCGCCAAUAGAGUCAGAACGGAUUAAGAGUAGAGAAGAUCCUAAUAGCGUUCACAUCACAACUGUCGAUGUUGGGACCAAUACAAUCCAUAGAUGAGAAGUACAAAUAUGGCCUCAAAGGCGUCCUCACUCAUGGCCUUCCCAUAUAGUAGCUUGAGCAAUGAGGACUCGGAGGGACCUUGAUUCCACCUUUGGUAGUCAUAUGAGCACCAACCAGAGAUUCAUCUAUGUGUAACAUGUCAGCUAUCUCUCAUGAGAGUGGGAACCCUUCAAGCACUGAACGGCAACUGGUCUUAGAAUAGUAUACCCACAGGAUAGCAUACUCCUUAAGGGUAGGCAAAAGCUGGAAAUCCGGAAAUGUGAAGCACGUACAGGAUCAUAAAACUGCACCAAUACACUCACAAUCCUUCAUCCACCUGAGUAGUCAGAAGAGGAAGAAGCUUCUCCAAAACGAGCCUUGAAACCCAAAGGAUCUAAUACAUAGGAUGUCGAUCCUUAACUCUUUCAAAUCUGGUUGCUUAGCUAUACUUCUUUGUAUUCCUUCUUUGUCUUUCAUGUCUGAAAAUUUUGCAAUAAACCCCUUAAGUUCCUUGAAAAUUUUCUUAUUUUAUUGAUGAUAUGGAUGCAAUGGAUGCAUGAAUACAUGAUGCAACAAUCACACUCAAGGAUCAAGCAAAGCACACCUAACAAGUCAUGGAUGGAUCAUGUUAUCCUUAAUAUCAAUCAUCCAUUUUGGUGGAUUAUGUUUACACCUUAUCAACACCCAAGUUCAGUGAUAUUAAGGAUUCAUGAACGGACCAACCAUGAAUCAAGGGUUUGUUGUAAGUACGAGCAUGGAGUUAGGUUAAGAACCACCCAAAGGGAGUGUACUAGGGUUUAAACCUGCCAAACAUGUUCUACAAGAGGUUCCCAUAGUCAUCAUUCCAUCUUCGGAUAUUAUUGGAGAAACGACUACUCGUAUUCCAAAAUAUUCUCAAGAGAGACUCUUAUGAGUAUAGUAUCGCGUAACAUCGUUACAAAUCUUACACUUGAACGACUUCGCACUACAUCUUAAGCAUAGGCAAGAUAGCUUGGUACUAAGGUCCUUGGCUUCUAAGGUCUUAUAUGAAAGAGUAAUGUCUAACACAACUUACUUGUGUGCAUUAUUGAUCCCAACAUAACCCCACCAAGUGAAUGAUUGCAAGUCAACUUGCUAAGAUAAACUCCACACAAGUCAACAAGACUACGCCAUUCUUCCUAUCCUAAGUGCACUCGAGUCCGGGUAUAGAACUCAUCUCACAAAGAUCACCAAGCAUACAAGGAAUUAAUAUUCAAGCAAUUCAAUCAUUACAUACAAUACAGUAAUAACCCAAUUGCACAAAAUAUGUCACACAAAGAAAAUAUACAUACAACAAAUAUUAAAAGUAGGCAAAACCACUAGGAUUCUCUUCCCAGCAGAGUCGCCAUUUUUCUGUAGCGGGGUAUUCGUUACCAUUAGAGAUAUUGACUAAAUCCAAGGUAAUCAUACAAGUCAAGCCCGUCACCGCACUUCUAUUUAUCCAAAGGAAUGGUUAGAAGCGAACAAAACCUAAAACUUUUAUCCAAUCAAAAACUAGUAUAAAAUGUCAAAGAUCUGGGUAAGGGGUUGGGUAUGCAAUGGGAAGGUAUUAGGCACCAAAGCAUCCUAGGUACUCCUAGGAGCCCUUUUCACAUUUGUUGCAAAGGUUGUUGUUGUUUUUUUUUGAAAAUUUAUUUGGGCAAACUGAUUGAAGAUGAGGAUGAGAAAAGCGUGUAUGUUUAUCUAAUGUACUACUUACUAAAAGAAGGGUCAAAAGAAAUGCAUCACGGACGUCGCAUCCACUGCAUACGUAUUCAUUUGAAUCUGAGAAUCAGAGUCUUCGUAGCUCGGCUACCUAUGGGUUAAAGAGGAGUGUGCUCGCUAAGACAUCGCGUCUUAUGCCUACGUAUCAUCUGGGAUGAAAAUCAGAGCAAAACGUAGUUCGACCACUAUGGGGUAAGGGUUGUGUUUUGGGGUGAACGACGUUACUACGCAAUCUACCGGAUGCUCGACCUUUGGAGACUUACUCGCCUGUAGUAGAAGGAGAUAAUAUUGUUCUUAGGAGAGAAAAUCAAUGAGUUUGGGUGUGUUAGGAUGCUCAUGCAAAAAGGCAGUCCUAGAUGAAGGACCGCGUUACCUAUAAAUGACAUGCCACGAGAGGCUAUACGAACCUAAGAAUCUGGUAACAUGCGGAAAGUAAAGGGAUCGAGAGAUCUACCGUACGGAUAAAGAUCCGAAGUAACAGCAAUUAGAUAAAUAAGAAACCCAAUGACUCUUCCAAGCAUAACACAUCAAAGAAAGCGAGUCAGUACAGGUAAUCGAAUAGACUCCAGGUGGUACGCCACAAAUAAAGUGGAACACCAGGCAAGUUUCCUGCAAGAGUAUGUGAGCCUCACAAACAAAACUCAACAAACAGGUUAGAGAAAACAAGUAGGUAAUCAAGAGUUGCCCUCAAAUCAAAAUGUACCACAUGAAUCAUGCCAUUAAAAUUCACAAAAAGCUUACAAAAAGCAACCAAGGGUAGGAGGCCUAAACCUCUUGUCAAACACAUGCAUCAAAGGGUAUCAAAUUCACCAUAUACCUCAUACUUCAGAGCAUUCAAAUUAAAAGCAUAAAGUAAUGGGAAUAGGCAACCUGACUGGAGAGAUCGAAUGAAAUUGAAUUGCCCAGGUGGGUUUGCAAAGCAAUCUGAGGUUUAUAUGAGAGGGAAUUGGUUCUUUGCCGAUGAUGUUCCUUCAGUCUCUGGAGGUUGCUCUGAACUCGGUUAGCUCUUCUCUCACUAUCUUUUUCCUUCGCCAUGGUAAUGGAAUAGAAAUGGCCUUUGUUUCACUGAAACUCUGAAUUAUAACCUGAUUUUGUGGACUGUGCUCAAAUGAGAAGGCCCAAGUCCAAAUUUUUUGUUAUAUUUUAUUUAUUAUUUAUUUAUUUUUAUUUAUUUAUUUUCGUUUUUUUAUUUUUUUCGUUUUCGUUUUUUUUUUUAAAACACGUGGCUUCGCCUACGCAGCAUGACAGUUCAAGAAAUUCCUCUGAGCGUAGGUGAUUCUGGUGGCUUUUGGGAUCGCUAGGCGACCCAUUAUCUGCUCGCCUAGCGAGCAUGACAGCUCAUGAACAAACUUUUGCUCCUUCACGAUUAACGUUUUGACUGACGAAUAGACCCAUUUGAACCUGUGGAAGUAUCUCAAGCCAUUCCCUUGUGUGUGACUGAUCAUCUAAAUAAGACCACAAAGUGUCUUGGAUGAUACUCAAGCUCCAAACAAAAGAUGUUAGUGACACAUAUUUUGUGUCUUUGGUUAGUAAACAAAAGUAAGAGAACAAUGAUGUAUAAUUCAAGCAUGCUUGGUGAUCUCAACGAACACAAGCGAGUCCCACCCAAAGGCAAAGGGAACCAAGAUGCUAAAGAUCCUUGAGGCAAUGCAAAUGCAAUGUUAUGAUGCCAUGAGGGAUCUUAGGGUCAAAAUUGGGGUCUUACAGUAAUGAAAUUAAACAAACGCUCAAUAUUAUUUACAACUUCAUUUAUAACAUAUAAGGGGUGCCAUGAAUAGUUAACGGGCCUAAUGUACAUGAGAAAGGCCCAAUCAUAUAAAUUUGGUAUUACAAUAACAACAUACAAUAAUAAAAGAGAAAUGAAUAGGUUUGAAAAAAGUUGUUUUUGUAAACAAAUAUAAAAAUUGAUAUCAUUCUUUUCCUGGAAAAUGGACAAACGUGAAAAGUCAAGAGAAAUCUUCUUCUUAUCCAAUUCCAAGUAACAACCCAAGAGCAUAAAACAAGGUCAUACAAAUGCACCAUACAAUGGUUUAACAACUUACCUAAACAAAUUAAUUUGGAAAUGCUUAAUAAAUGGAAAACAAAACCAAUUAUUUCAGCAUAUCUUAAACACAUAAUGAACAAGCAGUUAAAUAACAGGGGUGGUGAAAAAAAGUUAAUACCAUAUUGAGUCAGCAAACUGUUUCCUUGAUGAGUGUAGUGACUUUACCUGCUCUUGUAACCCUUCCUCUCUUCCACACGGUUGCAACACCGAGAGCUUUCACGUUUCAAUUUCGUGUGGCGUCGGAUCAGAAAUAGCUACAGGAAUGGUUUUGAAUUAGAGUGACGUCGGAUCGGUGAAUUCCUUAUGGUGGUCUGUGGUAGUUUGAAGAGUUAUUGAGAUGAGUAUGGCUAAGGCUCGGUGGUGUGUUCGUCGGAUGAAGGUGAUGGCGGUUUGGCGGUGGUAUAAAGAAGAAGGGUUUAGUCGAUGAUGAAUAGUUAUGGAGGAGAAGGAGAUCUAAUAAGUUGAAGAGGUUUUGAGUGGUGACGGCGUUGUUGUGUGAUAUCGGAGCAGACGGAGUAUGGUGGAAGGUUGUUAGCAUGGUACGGACGGCGGUGGAAGGUGGAAGAGAUGGUGGCAGUCGGUUGUUUAGGAAGAUGAACAGUGGUUCAUCUCUUUUUUUCUUCUUUAUUCUCAUUUUAUUGUUUAUUUCUCUGACAGAAAGCCAUUGGAAAAUGAGAGUGUGUAGAGGCUAGUCCUCCUAGUGAGAGCCUAGAGAGGAAUUUUUUCUUUUCUUUUUU
rnacentral:lncRNA from 1 species